AAUAACCAAACAAAGCUGUGGUCAGAAAAGGCAUGACAGAGCAUUCUACUAUGGCAUCAAUGCCUUGAGAAAAUACAAUGAACACUCAGGCUGUCAGAGACCUGCUUUACCAUCUAUUUCCUGCAUCCAUCUGUGAGAAAGACCUCACAGUAUCCCUUGUUGGGCAGUCAAAACACCUCAUGAAUGAAGAACAGAGACAGAACAGAGAAAAAUAAACACCAGUAGUUAACAUUAGAUUUUAACAACUAU